rnacentral:rRNA from 1 species
GACGAACGCUGGCGGCGUGCCUAACACAUGCAAGUCUGGGAGAAUUGGGUAGCAAUAUCCAUAGUAAACCGGCGCACGGGUGAGUAAUAUAUAGGUAACAUACCUCUUGACUUGGAAUAACCCCGCGAAAGCGGGGCUAAUACCGAAUGAUGCAGCGGCUCCGCAUGGAGAUGUUGUUAAAGCUUCGGCGUCAAGAGAUUGGCCUGUAUCCCAUUAGAUAGUUGGCGAGGUAACGGCUCACCAAGUCUACGAUGGGUAGCUGAUCUGAGAGGAUGAUCAGCCACACUGGAACUGAGACACGGUCCAGACUCCUACGGGAGGCUG